GCGGACGUAGCCAAACUGGUAGAGGCGUUGGAUUUAGGAUCCAAUGGGGAAACCCGUGUGGGUUCGACUCCCGCCGUCCGCACCA
rnacentral:tRNA from 1 species